rnacentral:rRNA from 1 species
UACGAAGGGGGCUAGCGUUGCUCGGAAUCACUGGGCGUAAAGCGCACGUAGGCGGAUUGCUAAGUCAGGGGUGAAAUCCUGGAGCUCAACUCCAGAACUGCCCUUGAUACUGGCGGUCUCGAGUCCGGGAGAGGUGAGUGGAACUGCGAGUGUAGAGGUGAAAUUCGUAGAUAUUCGGAAGAACACCAGUGGCGAAGGCGACUUACUGGACACAUAUUGACGCUGAGGUGCGAAAGCGUGGGGAGCAAACAGGG